GCGUGGAUCUGCUGGGCCACGCUCAAGUGCCGCCGCCCUGCUGCUUUGAAGGUGUGGACGUCUGCAUCCCAGACUUCAGCCGGAGGAGCAUUCGCAUCAGAGAGGCCCGGCGGGUGAAGGUGGGCCACAUCGCCACAGGAAUCAGCGAUCAGAUCUCGGAGAGGGUGUUCACGCUGCAGACCCCGCACGGCUGGCACGUGGCGCACGACGACGAGGUGCAGGACUC